AGCGAACGCUGGCGGCAGGCUUAACACAUGCAAGUCGAACGCCCCGCAAGGGGAGUGGCAGACGGGUGAGUAACACGUGGGAACGUACCCUUUGGUUCGGAAUAACUUGGGGAAACUCAAGCUAAUACCGGAUAAGCCCUUAUGGGGAAAGGUUUACUGCCGAAGGAUCGGCCCGCGUCUGAUUAGCUAGUUGGGGAGGUAAUGGCUCACCAAGGCGACGAUCAGUAGCUGGUCUGAGAGAAUGAUCAGCCACACUGGGACUGAGACACGGCCCAGACUCCUACGGGAGGCAGCAGUGGGGAAUAUUGGACAAUGGGGGCAACCCUGAUCCAGCCAUGCCGCGUGAGUGAUGAAGGCCUUAGGGUUGUAAAGCUCUUUUACCCGGGACGAUAAUGACUGUACCGGGAGAAUAAGCCCCGGCUAACUUCGUGCAGCCGCCGCUGUAA
rnacentral:rRNA from 1 species